rnacentral:rRNA from 1 species
UAGGGAAUCUUCCACAAUGGACGAAAGUACUGAUGGAGCAACGCCGCGUGAGUGAAGAAGGGUUUCGGCUCGUAAAACUCUGUUGUUAAAGUAGAACAUAUCUGAGAGUAACUGUUCAGGUAUUGACGGUAUUUAACCAGAAAGCCACGGCUAACUACGUGCCAC